rnacentral:lncRNA from 1 species
AUAUUACAAUUUACAGUCUACUACAGAACCAAAAAACUCUUUGCUAAGUAGGGCUUCACUGAUUCGCACUUGGCUUCACGGCUUCACUGAUUCGCACUUGGCUUCACGGCUUCACACUCCAAAAAAAAUUAGGCCUGGAGCUCCUGUAAAAGAGUGAACAACUUCAAUAUUAGUGUACUACUGCUGAGGCCAAAACCAAACAACUUUGAUAUUACAAUAGAAAGAAGUCUCAGGUUUAUCAAGCACAGCAAAACAGCAGUGUGACUGAAAACAAAAGAGGUCUCGGGUUUAGACUGAAAAGGAAGAGCUAGUUAUGCAUGAUGUCCCAGGUUUAAAGAAAAGAUCAAGACCACAAUUUUAACAAGAGAUAUAUAGUCAGUCCAAUUGAACAAAGGCUAGACAGUAGCAUUAUGAGUAUUUAAGUGGAGAUGUAGCAGACAAUCAAAUGAAUAUAUUGUGGAGACGAUGAAUAAAAUUAGGCAAUCAUCAAUGGAGAGCGUCUAAUGCUCCAAAUCAAACAAACAAAUAUGUUUAGCCAACCAAGAAGGAAACACUAACAAAACAGUGGAAUUUGAGGUGGUGAGCUAGAUGAGGUACAAACUGAGAUGAAAUUCAAUCAUCCGGUAGCAAAACAAGCUUACUAGCUAGCUAGUACACUAGAAUGUGACCAUCCAACAUGCACACACGCAUCAUGCAGGAACAUAUAUGAACAUUUUUUGUAAGGGGGACAUCAAGACCUUGUUUUGGAAGGACUAAAGAGCACUUGAAGGAGUUCCGGUCAUCAGGUGCUUCUUCACCAUCAGGCUCAUUUGUUGCUGCUGCUCAUCCUCCUACUCCAUCUACAUGGACAAGAGCAAGUUAGUUGUUUGCAUGGCAUUCACUUAAUAAAACUGCAUGUAUAUUCAUCUACAUUACUUCUUCAGUAUAGUACAGUACAAAGGAUGGAUGGGUUUGAGUUCAAAUGUUUGCUUGCACGUGUACUACUCAUAUACUUAGGCACAUGGAAAAUCAACUACAAGCAGGAACACGAUGAGCCAGAACAAGCUAGUAAGACACUAGCAGUAGAGCAACCAUAAUAUGAAGCAAACAGAGGAAUCACAAGGUAAUUCUACUAAUUUGAUUGAAAGAAUAGUGGCAAUUUCAGGAAAUGUGCUAGAUGAGGUACAAACUGAAUACUAAUACAGAUUAAAGCAGGUUGAAUGUUGAGCGGCACAUAUAAUAUGAUGGUAAGAAAAUGAUA